rnacentral:lncRNA from 1 species
GGAGCCGGAGCCAGUCCAUGGAUGCCAUGGGACUGAGCAACAAGAAACCCAACACCGUGUCUACCAGCCACAGUGGGAGCUUCACCCCCAACAACCCGGACCUGGCCAAGGCAGCUGGCAUAUCCCUGAUUGUCCCUGGAAAGAGUCCCACAAGGAAGAAGCCAAGUCCUUGUGUGUAUCUGUUCACUCUUAGGAGCCACGCCCAAGGCGAGACUUCCAGCCCCAACACCUACUUUGGAAGCCCCGUGGCCACAUGUAUGUCAGUAAGGGUUGUACAAAAUAAAUUCUAUUUAUCGCUAUUG